UCGAGCGAUGAAAUCUUGACAGAACCCUUCGGGGUGAAGAUAAGAUGGAUUAGCGGCGGACGGGUGAGUAACACGUGAGUAACCUGCCUUAGACAUUGGGAUAGCCUCGGGAAACCGGGAUUAAUACCAAAUGAAAUCACAUAUGCACAUGCAUAAAUGAUCAAAGCUCCGGCGGUCUAAGAUGGACUCGCGUCCCAUUAGCUAGUUGGUGAGGUAACGGCCCACCAAGGCGACGAUGGGUAGCCGGCCUGAGAGGGUGAACGGCCACAUUGGAACUGAGAAACGGUCCAAACUCCUACGGGAGGCAGCAGUGGGGAAUAUUGCACAAUGGAGGGAACUCUGAUGCAGCGACGCCGCGUGAACGAAGAAGGCUUUCGAGUCGUAAAGUUCUUUUAUGUGGGAAGAUAAUGACGGUACCAUAAGAAAAAGCCCCGGCUAACUACGUGCCAGCAGCCGCGGUAAUACGUAGGGGGCUAGCGUUGUCCGGAAUCACUGGGCGUAAAGGGUUCGCAGGCGGAAAUGCAAGUCAGGUGUAAAAGGCAGUAGCUUAACUACUGUAAGCAUUUGAAACUGCAUAUCUUGAGAAGAGUAGAGGUAAGUGGAAUUUUUAGUGUAGCGGUGAAAUGCGUAGAUAUUAAAAAGAAUACCGGUGGCGAAGGCGACUUACUGGGCUCAUUCUGACGCUGAGGAACGAAAGCGUGGGUAGCAAACAGGAUUAGAUACCCUGGUAGUCCACGCUGUAAACGAUGAGUGCUAGGUAUCGGAAUAAUU
rnacentral:rRNA from 1 species